ACACCUGUUAUCAAAAAUCCCUAAAAUCCCCAACCCUAAAAUCUCUCUCAACUCUAAGUCUCAGCACUGCCUCCCUCUCCUCCCGUCUCCCCCUUCGGCCUUUCCGCCUCUCCUCUAGUACAGCUGCGCGCCUCCCGUCGAUCGUCCCCUCUUCACGCUGUCAACGCCAUUGCUGCGUUCACUGUUACUGGUUGUUUGUUUGCUCUCUUCCGCCGCUUCCUUGGUUCUCCACGUUCUUCCUCCACCGAUCCACUCCUGCCGUCUGGUGCUGCUCAUCGCCGUAUCUUCCUUCACUGCAGGCUCGAAGGUUAAGGGUUUAGAGAAGAUUAUGAGGAGAGGUGAUUGGACUUUUGAGGGUAGCUCCUUUUUUGAAUCAUGGAGAAAUAGAGAAUUUGUACAAUGAAACAAUGUGGUUGCUGUGUUUCUUGAAAUUACUACUGCAGUCUCUGUAACAGUUGGAAAAAAAAUCAAAGAGGAUAUAAGGAGGAGGAAAAUAGUACUAUAGAAGGUGGAGUGAGGAAAAUGGAAUGCAAUAAAGAUGAGGCUGCCAAGGCAAAAGAGAUUGCUGAGAAGAAAUUUUUCGCAAAGGACCUUGCAGGAGCAAAGAGAUUUGCAUUGAAGGCCCAAAAUUUGUAUCCUGGGCUUGAGGGUGUUAUGCAGAUGGUAGCAACACUUGAUGUUUACAUUUCCGCUGAGAACAAAAUAAAUGGCGAACCAGAUUGGUAUGGAAUCCUUGGUGUGGAUCCAAAAGCGGAUGAUGACACAGUUCGGAAGCAGUAUAGGAAACUUGCUCUCAUGCUUCACCCUGACAAAAACAAGUCUGUAGGAGCUGAUGGUGCAUUUAAGCUUAUUUCUGAGGCAUGGAGUUUAUUGUCUGACAAGUCUAAGAGAGCAGUACAUGACCAAAAGAGGAGAAAUUCUAAAGUAUCAUCUCAAAAGGCUACAAACCCUGCUGGUGGUCCAUCAACAACAGCAGGGUCUGGUGGUUUUUACAAUUUUGCAAAAUCAAGUGCGAAGGCACACAAGAGUACUCCUCGUACUGGUCAUUCUUCAACUCCCGUUGCAUCUCAGAAGUCAAAGCCCAAUACCUUUUGGACUGUAUGUCAUAGAUGCAAGAUGCAGUAUGAGUAUCUCAGGGUUUAUCUUAAUCAUAAUCUCCUAUGCCCUAAUUGCCAUGAGCCAUUUUUAGCUGUUGAAACAGCUCCUCCACCUUCAAAUGGUUCUAAAACUUCCACCACAUGGAAUUUUUCUCAGCCGAGGCAGGGUUCAAGUCAUCAUGCUGCCAGUAAAAACACAUCAAAUUCUGCAAGCAACAAUGUGCCUCCUCCAAAUGCAGGAUCUGUCAGAACAGACUCGUAUAGUCAGACCAACUUCCAGUGGGGUCCAUUCUCUAGAGCAGGCGGUGCUUCAUCUGUUGCUCAAGCUGCUACUGUGGUACAGCAGGCAUAUGAAAAAGUCAAGAGAGAGCGUGAGGAAGCUCAGGCAGCCACAAAAAGAGAGGAGGCCCUUAAGAAAAAGAAUAAUGUCUCUAAAAGGACAGGGGGUGUGUCCUCUGGUGGAUAUUCUAAUUCUGCGAAGAGGAGGAAAACCAUGGAAGAUGUUGGUCUAAGCAACCAUGAAAACAAUGCUACAAAUCAAAUGGCUGCAGGAGGAGCUAGCACCUCUGAUAUAUCUGGUUCUAAGAAAGGUAAUUUUGGAACAGGUAGUGUCAGUGGAGUCACGCAGCCCUGUGGCACAAGGGAUGUCUCCCAGUUUGGAAUUCAAACCUUACUAAUGGAGAAAGCUAGAAAAGAAAUUAGUCAAAAACUAAAUGAAUGGAACUCAGCUACAGCAACUAUAUCUUCUGUUAAAAAUGAGAAGAGUAAUGUGAAAGAAAAUGAUGGAGGAGAAACAUCUGAAGGAAAGCCUGAAAUGUGUGAUCAAAAUAAGUUUGCUCAGCAACUGGAUCCAGAUAAUGGAAUACAUGGCAUAAAGCUUUCUUCUGGAUCUUCUAGUACAAAAGCAGAUUUAGACCCUUCGGAAACAAUGUCAAUAGAUGUCCCAGAUCCAGAUUUUCAUAACUUUGACAAGGAUCGAACUGAAAAUUGUUUUGAAGAAAACCAGGUUUGGGCUGCAUAUGAUGGAGAUGAUGGGAUGCCUCGAUACUAUGCAAUGGUCCAUAAAGUAAUCUCUUUGAAUCCGUUUAAAAUGAGAAUAAGUUGGCUUAAUUCAAAGACUAACACUGAACUGGGCCCACUAAACUGGGUUGGUUCAGGCUUCUCAAAAACUUGUGGUGAAUUCAGAGUAGGGAGAUAUGAGGUUUACAACUCACUUAAUUCCUUUUCACACAAGGUCAAGUGGACAAAAGGUAGUCGUGGGGUAAUUUGCAUAUACCCUAAGAAGGGAGAUGUUUGGGCACUAUAUCGGAAUUGGUCUCCUGAAUGGAAUGAGCUGACAGAAGAUGAGGUGAUACACAAGUAUGACAUGGUAGAGGUACUAGAAGAUUACAGGGAAGAACUAGGUGUAACUGUUGCUCCACUAGUUAAGGUUGCGGGUUUCAAGACAGUGUUCCACCAGCAUUUGGACCCUGGAGAAAUCAGACGUAUUCCAAAAGAAGAGAUGUUUCGAUUUUCCCAUCAUGUUCCCUCAUACUUGCUUACUGGUCAAGAAGGUCCAAAUGCUCCGAAAGGUUGUCGGGAGUUGGACCCAGCGGCUACUCCAUUAGAACUACUUCAAGUAAUAAUAGAUGUUAAGGAAGAAGAGAUUUUAGUUGAAGGGGCAAAGCAAGAAAAAAGAUAACAAAAGCCUGAUGUUGAAAAAGAUAGUGAUAAGAAAUGGGAACAAAACCUGUAAAAAAGCCAGGGAGGAGAAGAAGGGAAAGUAUAAAGAUGGUGAAGUAAAUUAUAGAUGAUACCGCUACCACUAAAUAUAAGUGGUUCUUGCGGCUGAAAAGGCAGUUAAUUGAGUUUUAGGUUAAUAUAUUUUAUGUGGAUAGAUUAUUGAUGCGAUGUUGAAACAUGUUCAACUCAUUGGCAUGGAAAUAUGGCUGCAAUUUUGUUUCAGAUCAUGUGGGCUAGAUGACCUAUUAACCAUGGUUUUAAUUCCAUAUAUUGACAAGUCCUUUGUCCAAAAUCGAAGUUGUUUUCUGUUGGUCAAUCUAUUAUAAGAUAGUCAAAAGAGAGGAAAACAUAUUUAAUGACAAUUACACCCUCUCUCUCUUUCUCUCUGUUCUCCCUCUCCCUUCCCCAAAAAUUAGAUUGAAGCUAUCUUCAGUUCUUUACGCUUAAAUUCCUUCGUCUACCUUAAAGUUUGAGUGUCGAUUGGCUAACGGAAACACAUAUGCUCAUCUGCUGAAAAUAAAAGCAAAUGGAAUGAAAUUGGAGAUAGUGAGAGAAAAUCCCAACAGGAGCAAGGGAUUAACAAUUUGUUGUUGCCAAAGAAAUGACUGGGAGUGAUCAUGAAUGCCAAUGAGAUGAGCCAGAGAAGAAGGUGAAGAGUGAAUUUCUAUGGACCACCUACUUUGGGUUUUGAUGCUCGUGAACACAUGCUGAGUCCUGGUGAGUUUGAUGAUGAGCUAUAAGAGAAGGAUGGAUUUUCCUUGCAGUCAUGGGAGAAGAUGAGUGCCUUUUUGUUUGAUAUGGCAUUGGAAUGUUGGACUUUCUACUUUUAUCAUUCAGAUCGAGCCAUUGAUUAUCUUCAUGCAAUAACGUUUCUGUAGACCUGAGAAACCUGAAGCUAGGUUGGAAUUCUGUAGAAGGCCUUCAACCACCAGAUUUUGCUAAUGAGUGCAAGAAGGAAUGCAUUGGAAGUUUUAUGGUCAUGGUUAAUAUUUUUGGGUGGCCCAAUGUUGAUAGUUCUCCAUUAUUGGAAAUUUUCCUGCUGUCCCUUUGGCAGGAAUACAUUGUGGCAGGAAACAGGACGUCACGUUUCAGUAUUGAACGAACAUGGAAGUUUGGAACGCAAGAAAGCACUCCCAGUUAUGUGCAUGUAUUUGGCGCUGUAUACGAGUGUACUUGGGAAAAGAAAGCGAGGGAUGAAGGAUUGAGGAGAAGGCAGAGAUAGGAAACUAUAUUUCCAGGAACAAAUGGAGACAUGACCGUAGUAUACAAUGUUUUUGCAAACUAUAGCUGAUGGUUGUGAUAUCUUUUCCUCAUUAACCUGUAGCAGAGAUUAAAAUACCUUUUACUGGAUCAGUGGUUUUUUCUUGUUCUGAAUUACUUAUCCUUAAUAAAAAUCAUCCGAUUCUCUGACUGGUGA